rnacentral:lncRNA from 1 species
UCAAAAUAUAAGGCAUGAAUCUCUCCAGAUUGGUAUCAGCAAACUGAUCCCAUGACAACACAUGAGCAUCAACAGGCCUAUAAUCGACAAAUAAUCUCUACCAAUCUCUCGCAGUAUCUCUCAACUGAUAGUAGUAUAAGCCAUACCAUCCAUGCAGAAAGAGUGAAACAUAACUCAAAACAUAAGAUAUGAAAGAACUUCACAUGAUAAAGAAUAAAAUCAAAAAAGUUUCCUAAAGACUUUUUAUAUCCUCUCGAAGAUAGAUACGAACGUCUACGUACC